GAGCUUGCUCCUCUGACGUUAGCGGCGGACGGGUGAGUAACACGUGGAUAACCUACCUAUAAGACUGGUAUAACUUCGGGAAACCGGAGCUAAUACCGGAUAAUAUAUUGAACCGCAUGGUUCAAUAGUGAAAGACGGUUUUGCUGUCACUUAUAGAUGGAUCCGCGCCGCAUUAGCUAGUUGGUAAGGUAACGGCUUACCAAGGCAACGAUGCGUAGCCGACCUGAGAGGGUGAUCGGCCACACUGGAACUGAGACACGGUCCAGACUCCUACGGGAGGCAGCAGUAGGGAAUCUUCCGCAAUGGGCGAAAGCUUGACGGAGCAACGCCGCGUGAGUGAUGAAGGUCUUCGGAUCGUAAAACUCUGUUAUUAGGGAAGAACAAAUGUGUAAGUGACUAUGCACGUCUUGACGGUACCUAAUCAGAAAGCCACGGCUAACUACGUGCCAGCAGCCGCGGUAAUACGUAGGUGGCAAGCGUUACCCGGAAUUAUUGGGCGUAAAGCGCGCGUAGGCGGUUUUUUAAGUCUGAUGUGAAAGCCCACGGCUCAACCGUGGAGGGUCAUUGGAAACUGGAAAACUUGAGCGCAGAAGAGGAAAGUGGAAUUCCAUGUGUAGCGGUGAAAUGCGCAGAGAUAUGGAGGAACACCAGUGGCGAAGGCGACUUUCUGGUCUGUAACUGACGCUGAUGUGCGAAAGCGUGGGGAUCAAACAGGAUUAGAUACCUGGUAGUCCACGCCGUAAACGAUGAGUGCUAAGUGUUAGGGGGUUUCCGCCCCUUAGUGCUGCAGCUAACGCAUUAAGCACUCCGCCUGGGGAGUACGACCGCAAGGUUG
rnacentral:rRNA from 1 species